rnacentral:rRNA from 1 species
AACGAACGCUGGCGGCAUGCCUAACACAUGCAAGUCGAACGAGAUCUUCGGGUCUAGUGGCGCACGGGUGCGUAACGCGUGGGAAUCUGCCCUUUGGUUCGGAAUAACAGUUGGAAACGACUGCUAAUACCGGAUGAUGACGAAAGUCCAAAGAUUUAUCGCCAGAGGAUGAGCCCGCGUAGGAUUAGCUAGUUGGUGUGGUAAAGGCGCACCAAGGCGACGAUCCUUAGCUGGUCUGAGAGGAUGAUCAGCCACACUGGGACUGAGAAACGGCCCAGACUCCUACGGGAGGCAGCAGUGGGGAAUAUUGGACAAUGGGCGAAAGCCUGAUCCAGCAAUGCCGCGUGAGUGAUGAAGGCCUUAGGGUUGUAAAGCUCUUUUCCCCGGGAUGAUAAUGACAGUACCGGGAGAAUAAGCUCCGGCUAACUCCGUGCCAGCAGCCGCCGUAA